CCUACGGGAGACAGCAGUGAGGAAUAUUGGUCAAUGGACGAGAGUCUGAACCAGCCAAGUAGCGUGAAGGAUGACUGCCCUAUGGGUUGUAAACUUCUUUUAUAUGGGAAUAAAAUGUUCCACGUGUGGGAUUUUGUAUGUACCAUAUGAAUAAGGAUCGGCUAACUCCGUGCCAGCAGCCGCGGUAAUACGGAGGAUCCGAGCGUUAUCCGGAUUUAUUGGGUUUAAAGGGAGCGUAGGUGGAUUGUUAAGUCAGUUGUGAAAGUUUGCGGCUCAACCGUAAAAUUGCAGUUGAAACUGGCAGUCUUGAGUACAGGAGAGGUGGGCGGAAUGCGUGGUGUAGCGGUGAAAUGCUUAGAUAUCACGAAGAACUCCGAUUGCGAAGGCAGUUCACUGGACUGCAACUGACACUGAGGCUCGAAAGUGUGGGUAUCAAACAGGAUUAGAUACCCUAGUAGUC
rnacentral:rRNA from 1 species